GGGUUGGAAGCUCAGUGGAUUAGAGCUCAUGGUUUCAGACCAUGAAGUCAAGGAUUCAAGUCCCUUAUAGCUUA
rnacentral:tRNA from 1 species